rnacentral:rRNA from 1 species
AGUGAACGCUGGCGGUAGGCCUAACACAUGCAAGUCGAACGGCAGCACAGUAAGAGCUUGCUCUUACGGGUGGCGAGUGGCGGACGGGUGAGGAAUACAUCGGAAUCUACUUUUUCGUGGGGGAUAACGUAGGGAAACUUACGCUAAUACCGCAUACGACCUACGGGUGAAAGCAGGGGAUCUUCGGACCUUGCGCGAUUGAAUGAGCCGAUGUCGGAUUAGCUAGUUGGCGGGGUAAAGGCCCACCAAGGCGACGAUCCGUAGCUGGUCUGAGAGGAUGAUCAGCCACACUGAAACGGAGACACGGUCCAGACUCCUACGGGAGGCAGAAGUGGGGAAUAUUGGACAAUGGGCGCAAGCCUGAUCCAGCCAUACCGCGUGGGUGAAGAAGGCCUUCGGGUUGUAAAGCCCUUUUGUUGGGAAAGAAAAGCAGCAGGUUAAUACCCCGCUGUUCUGACGGAACCCAAAGAAUAAGCACCGGCUAACUUGGU